GUGAACGCUGGCGGUAGGCCUAACACAUGCAAGUCGAACGGCAGCACAGUAAGAGCUUGCUCUUACGGGUGGCGAGUGGCGGACGGGAGGGGUACAUAGCGAUCUACACUUUUGUGGGGGGGAACGUAGGGGAACAUACGCUCAUACCGCACACAAGCUACGCGGGAAAACAGGGGGGCUUCGCACCUUUCGCGCUUGUGUAUGACGAGAUGUCGGAUUAGCUAGUUGGCGGGGUAAAGGCCCACCAACGCGACGAUCCGUAGCUGGUCUGAGAGGAUGAUCAGCCACACUGGAACUGAGACACGGUCCAGACUCCUACGGGAGGCAGCAGUGGGGAAUAUUGGACAAUGGGCGCAAGCCUGAUCCAGCCAUACCGCGUGGGUGAAGAAGGCCUUCGGGUUGUAAAGCCCUUUUGUUGGGAAAGAAAAGCAGCAGGUUAAUACCCCGCUGUUCUGACGGUACCCAAAGAAUAAGCACCGGCUAACUUCGUG
rnacentral:rRNA from 1 species